rnacentral:misc_RNA from 1 species
AAAUAAUUGACGUGACUCACGGUCACAAAACUGCAGCAGUCGGCGAGUUAACUUAACCUGUAAGCCGAACUAAUCUGUACAUAUGUAUACGUAGACCGCGUAUAGAUAUACACGUGACGUUCACAGGGGUAUGUAUAAGUAGGAUGCAAUUUUCCUUAGCAAUUGAUUCAGCAACCUCAAACUUGCGGUGCACUUGAUAUCGACAGACAGCCUGGCGGGACCUACGAGGCGAUUACAACUUUGCAGAAAGAUAUGCGGCAGAAAGUUGUUACAAUUUAUUCCUCGUGGAUAAUCUUAAUUUAACAAAAUGGCGGGGAAUCAAUGCCAGUCGCCUGAAAAAUGUUUGUGAAUCACCAAUGAAAAAGUUGGUAUUUUCGGAAGCUCUGUUGGAUACAUUUACUAUUUAUUGUUAUUUGUUGCUCGAAUUGCAACAAGAUUUUGGUAAAACUAUUUCUUCGGUAUUGGGGAAUGUUCUGAGAAACUUUUAAGUAAUCUUUCAUUCUUUUUCGGUAUACCUACAAAGCACAUCACGUGAGCCGAGCCCCUUUUUUCUCGGUUUCUUUCCCCUGGAGGACGAGAGACGUUAAUCUUUUCCCCCAUGAGGAUUCCCUUGCACUUUAUUUCCUUUAUAUAUCUGCCGGACUUAAGGUGCGCGAGGCUUUUGUGCGAAAGGCUUAAAGCUACUUGAUCGUGAAUAACGUCAGCCGAAUACUCGUACUCUCCCUUUUGCUCGAAGGAUUUUUCUCUUUUUCACUUUUACAUCUAUCCGGCUAUUGUCUCGCGUAAUCUUCACCGCGUAUAUUUUCGAUCGUGAAAAAUAGAAACCGAACGAAACGAGACUCCGCGAAUAGAAAACACAUUGCUGC